AAGGUUAUUGAACACAUUGACCACGAUAUUGUUGUUGGUGGUAGAGUUAAGAUUUGGUCCCGGGAAUUGCCCGUUAAUAAGAAUACCCUUUACUGGCACUCCCAAGGGAGCAAUGGUGCCAUAGGUGACGUUCCAUUCGAAAAAAAGGGUGGGAUCUCCGCCCUGGACCAUAAGCAUUGAUCCUGCCAAGAGAAAUAGCAUCGAUAUUAACAUUAAUCGAGCCAUCUCUUACCCUUUUUUUUCGCCCGACAGUAAUUUAUUAAUUAUCCCCUUCUAGAGGAAGAGGAAGAUGGUUUGCUUGAGUUGAUUUUGAAUUGCAUGCAUACCUCUCCUUUUAUACCACACAACCUCUUCAAUUCUUCCAUCUUAAUCCCUUAGAAUACGCUCAUCCAUUCAUUUAUUUCCUUGCUUUUAGCAAAUACUGUUUUUAACACUAAUCAUUUUGAGUUUAUCAUUCUCUUCUUUUCCAUCAAGGAUUUGCACAUCCACUGUGCUGAUGGCUAACCUUUUUUUUAGGACGAUGGUUACUCUGAUGAGAGUUCUUUUAGUUAUUUUCUUAAUUUAAAUAUAUAAAUAUGAAAUGUAUUAAAGUAACAUUAACCUCCAUUAUUAUAUAAUCAUUAUAGACAGUUGAUAUUAAGUGAAACUUCAUAUAUAAUUAAAUUAUGACCCACCAUAAAAGUUCAAAUUGAAUAAAUAAUAUGAAAAGAAAUUUAUAACUAAUUUCAUUUUUUUAGAGAUUAUAACAUACUAAUAACAUCAUAUAUCCAUUUGUGGUAUUCUAUGAGAGUAAUAUAGAUAAAAUUAAAACAUUGUAGAGGGUUCAGAGGGAGCUUUAUAAAUAAGUGAACAUGAUAUAUCGAAAGAAGGCAGAGAAGAAUACUAGAGCUGAUCCUAUAACAUUGAUCACAGCAACAAGUGAUGUUUGAUAAGCAAGAGAAAGGGAAUUGUAGUUGAUGAUAAGGCUAAACAACAACAACAACAAAAGUUGAAAGAAUUUUAGAGAGCUUUGAGAAUUAGAGUAUCAAAGUGCCAAAAAGUCACUCAACUAGUUGUGAUGGGCUCCUAUUUAUACUAGGUAUUUAAUAUGAGUAAUGAAAUUAGGUUUCAAUUGCAAUGGCAAUAUAUGGUUAAGACGGGAUGGUGAAUGGCCUUUUUGGUGAUGAUAAUGAUGAAUAUUGAAGAAAUGUUCACCAUAUUUUUGAAAUAAAGGAAAAACACUCAAUGUUAGAGGAAAAUGUUAAGAGGAAACUAUUUAAUUAUCUCCAUAUUUAAUCUACCAAGCCAAGUUCUCCGGAAAAUCUCAAGAGUGAAGACAACCCGAGAACUCUGUCGUAGGUUAUUUUCACUUCUUCUACUUUGGUGAAGCGGUAUCUUGUGAAACCUUUACCGCAGAACAUCUCUUAGAAUGCAAGACAAUGGAUGUUCUUGAACGAGAGUUGUUCAUGGUGUUGAAAGGUCAACAAAGGUAGGAAGCAACUUGUUAAAAAGGUUGAGCAAGUUGCACCGAAUGUUGAAAAGUUGAAUGGGAUAAUUGCAAUUUUGGUCCCUAAUUUUUUAGGCCAUUUGCAAGUUAGUCCCUGAACUUCAACUAUAAAUAGGCCUUUUCAUUUUUCAUUUCAACCAUCCCAACCAAUCUUUCUCUCUUAGUUUUCUCUCUUCUCUCAUUUGAGAAUUCUUAAGGAAUUCUAUUUGUUUGUAAUACUUUGAAGAUAGUAAAUUUAUCAUCUGGUGUUAGUGCCCGAGGACGUAGGUAUAAUUUACCGAACCUCGUUAAAACUCUUGUGUUCUUUCUUGUCCUAUUUUUCUUUCAAUAUUUGAGGGUAUAAUAGUAGUAUUUAAUUGUGCUAUUAAAUUACUAUAGAAGGGAUAUUCUGUCUAAGGAAAGACUUGGUAUUUAAGAGAUCCAUGUGAUCCACCUCUCUUUCCUGGGAAUUGAACUUUGUGUGAUUUUUUAGUACAAUAAUUUACACGCUUCCGACCCUAUUGGAACAACAAGUGGUAUCAGAGCCGGAGGUUAAUCGUAGUAUGCUCUGUGGUUGCAGUUUAAACUAAUCUUCCACAUCAGAAAAGAUUUCCUUAGGUAUAUUGAAAGAUUAUGGAGAAAACGGUCGGUGUAGGAGCUUCAACAUCGUCCAUGUGGACAAGACCGACAAUUGCAAAUGCAAGAUUGGCCGUGGAGAUCUUUGAUGGCACGGGCCAUUUUGGUAUGUGGCAAAGUGAGGUUCUAGAUGCCCUUUUUCAGCAGGGUCUAGACAUUGCCAUUGAUGAAGAGAAACCAGAUGAUGUACAGGAGAAAGAUUGGAAGGCGAUCAAUCGGUUGGCAUGUGGCACAAUUCGAUCAUGCCUUUCUCGAGAGCAGAGGUAUGCUUUUUCAAAGGAAACUUCUGCAAAUAAGUUGUGGGUGGCACUUGAAGAAAUUUUUUUGAAGAAAAACAGUCAAAAUAAGCUCCACUUGAAGAAAAGACUGUUUUGCUUCACAUACGUCCCAAGUACCACAAUGAAUUAUCACAUCACCAAAUUUAAUCAGUUAGUCACUGAUUUGCUGAAUAUGGAUGAGAUAUUCAAAGAUGAAGAUUUGGCUUUGAUGCUGUUGGGGUCACUUCCUGAGGAGUUUGAGUUCCUAGAAACUACUCUACUUCAUGGCAGGAGUGAUAUAUCUCUGAGCGAAGUCUGUGCGGCCUUAUACAGUUAUGAAUAGAGAAAGAAGGACAAACAGAAAAACUCAAUCAGAGAUACAGAAGCUUUAGUAGUCCGAGGUCGUUCAUACACUCGGAAGAAAACUCAAAAUGGGAGAUCAAAGUCAAAGUCCAGACUCGGGAAAGAUGAAUGUGCUUUUUGUCAUGAGAAAGGCCACUAGAAGAAAAAUUGUCCAAAGCUGAAGAAUAAGGGAAAAGCUGCUGUAGAUGCUUGUGUUGCUAAGCAUGAUACUAGUGACUCUGAACUAUCACUGGUUGCAUCAUCAUCGUCGUUCCAUUCAGAUGAGUGGAUAUUGGAUUCGGGUUGUACCUAUCAUAUGUCCCCUAAUCGGGAGUGGUUCUCUGAUUUAGUAGAACUAAAUGGAGGAGUUGUUUAUAUGGGCAAUGACAAUGCCUGUAAAACUGUUGGGAUAGGUUCAAUCCAAUUAAUGAAUCAAGAUGGAUCAACCAGAGUUCUGACUGAUGUUCGGUACGUGCCCAGUUUGAAGAAAAAUCUCAUCUCAUUGGGAGCCUUGGAAUCCAAUGGUUCAGUUGUUACUAUGAGAGAUGGGAUUUUGAAAGUGACAUAUGGCGCACUUGUGAUAUUGAAGGGCAUCAAGAAAAAUAACUUGUAUUACUACCAAGGUAGUACAGUUAUUGGAGCAGUCGCUACAGCUUCCGGUAACAAAGAAUUGGACUCAAUGCAGUUGUGGCAUAUGAAGUUGGGACAUGCCAGCGAAAAAUCCUUGCAAAUUCUGGCAAAGCAAGGAUUGUUGAAAGAUGCAAAGGCUUACAAAUUAAAAUUUUGCGAGCAUUGUGUUAUGGGAAAGCAAAAGAGAGUGAAAUUCGGUACUGCUAUCCAUAAUACAAAAGGUAUUUUGGAAUAUGUUCACUCAGAUGUGUGGGGGCCUUCCAAGACACCUUCAUUGGGAGGAAAACACUACUUUGUUACUUUUGUUGAUGACUAUUCCAGAAGAGUUUGGGUGUAUACCAUGAGAACUAAGGAUGAAGUGCUUAGAGUUUUUCUUAAAUGGAAAACUAUGAUCGAAAACCAGACUGGCAAGAAAAUCAAGCGGCUUAGGACGGACAAUGGAGGGGAAUAUAAAAGUGAUCCGUUCUUCGAUGUGUGCCAAGAGUAUGGUAUUGUUCGACACUUCACAGUUAGGGAUACACCACAGCAGAAUGGAUUGGCAGAGCGUAUGAAUCGAACAUUGCUGGAGAAAGUUCGAUGUAUGUUGUCUAAUGCUGGGUUGGGCAAGCAAUUUUGGGCUGAGGCUGUGACAUACGCUGGCCAUCUUGUUAAUCGUUUGCCAUCAUCUGCAUUAGAAAGAAAAACUCCUAUGGAGGUAUGGUCUGGAAAACCGGCUACAGAUUAUGAUUCCUUACAUGUGUUUGGAUCCACUGCAUAUUACCAUGUGAAGGAGUCAAAGUUAGAUCCGAGGGCAAAGAAAGCUCUCUUUAUGGGAAUCACUUCUGGAGUGAAGGGAUUUCGUCUUUGGUGCUUAAGCACAAAGAAAAUAAUCUGUAGCAGAGAUGUUACCUUUGAUGAAUCUGCCACAUUGAAAAAGGUAGCAGAUAAAGAUAUUCAGACAAGCAAUACUCCACAGCAGGUGGAGUGUACUCCAAAACAGGUAGAGUUUGAGCAGAUGGGGAUUUGCCCAGUUAAUAAGUCUAAUUCUCCAGCCACAAUGGAGGAAUUAGAGGCUGAAGAGGUUCUGACCCAAGAACCACUAAGUACACCAGAACCAGUUGCAGUUGCAAGGCCACGGAGAGAAAUUCGUAAACCUGCUCGAUUUACUGAUAUGGUGGCCUACGCCCUUCCCGUUGUUGAUGAUAUUCCUAUCACUUAUCAAGAAGCAAUGCAAAGCUUAGAAAGUGACAAAUGGAAAAGUGCCAUGGAUGAAGAAAUACAGUCUCUCCUGAAGAAUAAUACUUGGGAAUUGGCGCAAUUACCGAAAGGUAAAAGGGCAAUCAGAUGCAAGUGGGUAUUCGCAAAGAAAGAUGGAUCUCCUAGCAAGAAGGAUAUUCGCUACAAGGCAAGAUUGGUAGCUAAAGGCUACGCUCAGAAGGAGGGAAUUGACUACAAUGAUGUAUUUUCCCCUGUUGUGAAGCAUUCCUCCAUUAGAAUUUUGUUGGCCUUGGUAACACAGUUGAAUUUGGAGCUAGCUCAACUUGAUGUUAAGACGGCUUUCUUGCAUGGUGAGUUAGAAGAGGAGAUCUAUAUGACUCAGCCCGAAGGAUACACAGAUGCUGGUGGUAGAAAUUGGGUUUGUAAGCUGAACAAAUCGCUAUAUGGAUUGAAGCAAUCCCCGAGGCAGUGGUACAAGCGAUUUGAUAGCUUUAUGAGAAGGCAGAAGUAUACAAGAAGCAAAUAUGACAAUUGUGUAUAUUUGCAGAAGCUGCAUGACGGAUCUUUCAUUUAUCUACUCUUGUAUGUUGAUGAUAUGUUAAUCGCUUCGAAGAGCCAAAAUGAGAUAGAUAAGCUGAAGGCUCAGUUGAAUCAAGAGUUCGAGAUGAAAGAUCUAGGUGAGGCCAAGAAGAUUCUCGGCAUGGAGAUAAGUAGAGAUAGACCGAGAGGCAAGCUCUGUUUAAAUCAGAAGCAAUAUCUGAAAAAGGUAUUACAAUGUUUUGGUGUAAAUGAAAACACAAAACAUGUAAGUACCCCACUUGCUUCUCAUUUGAAACUUAGUGCUCAAUUAUCUCCAAAGACUGAAGAUGAAAGAGAAUAUAUGGCGAAAGUCCCAUAUGAUAAUGCAGUUGGGAGUUUGAUGUAUGCGAUGGUGUGUACGAGGCCUGACAUUUCACAAGCUGUUGGAGUUGUGAGCAGGUAUAUGCAUGAUCCUGGAAAAGGACAUUGGCAAGCUGUGAAAUGGAUUCUACGGUAUCUUCGAAAAACCGUAGAUGUUGGUUUAAUUUUUGAACAGGAUGAAGCACUUGGUCAGUUUGUAGUUGGAUAUGUUGAUUCCGACUUUGCUGGUGAUUUAGAUAAACGUCGUUCAACUACGGGGUAUCUGUUUACUCUUGCGAAAGCCCCAGUGAGUUGGAAGUCUACCUUACAGUCUACAGUAGCUGUGUCUACUACAGAGGCAGAAUAUAUGGCAGUUACAGAAGCUGUUAAGGAGGCUAUUUGGCUUAAUGGAUUAUUGAAAGACUUGGGAGUUGUUCAAAGUCACAUUAGUCUAUAUUGUGACAGUCAGAGUGCUAUUCAUUUAGCGAAAAAUCAAGUCUAUCAUUCAAGAACCAAGCAUAUCGACGUAAGAUAUCACUUUGUGCGGGAAGUCUUUGAAAAAGGAAAAAUUCUACUUCAGAAGAUUCCGACAGCAGAUAAUCCCGCAGAUAUGAUGACCAAAGUGGUAACAACAAUCAAGUUUAAUCAUUGUUUGAACUUGAUUAACAUCUUGAGAAUUUGAGCACCUACAGGUGUAUGGCGCUCGAGAGCGCAUUUAGAGGCACUACAAAAGAUAACUUUAUCGAAUUUGGGGAGUUGAAGGAAGUGUGUGAAGAUGUGAUUAUCCUAAUCAAAUCUUCAAGGUGGAGAUUGUUGAAAGGUCAACAAAGGUAGGAAGCAACUUGUUAAAAAGGUUGAGCAAGUUGCACCGAAUGUUGAAAAGUUGAAUGGGAUAAUUGCAAUUUUGGUCCCUAAUUUUUUAGGCCAUUUGCAAGUUAGUCCCUGAACUUCAACUAUAAAUAGGCCUUUUCAUUUUUCAUUUCAACCAUCCCAACCAAUCUUUCUCUCUUAGUUUUCUCUCUUCUCCCAUUUGAGAAUUCUUAAGGAAUUCUAUUUGUUUGUAAUACUUUGAAGAUAGUAAAGUUAUCAUCUGGUGUUAGUGCCCGAGGACGUAGGUAUAAUUUACCGAACCUCGUUAAAACUCUUGUGUUCUUUCUUGUCCUAUUUUUCUUUCAAUAUUUGAGGGUAUAAUAGUAGUAUUUAAUUGUGCUAUUAAAUUACUAUAGAAGGGAUAUUCUAUCUAAGGAAAGACUUGGUAUUUAAGAGAUCCAUGUGAUCCACCUCUCUUUCCUGGGAAUUGAACUUUGUGUGAUUUUUUAGUACAAUAAUUUACACGCUUCCGACCCUAUUGGAACAACACAUGGAAAAGGGUUAUUCUUACUUGUUUCAAACAAAAGUUGUUCUAUGGUAAUGCUCCGUUUGGUAGAACUUAUUCUGAAUAAUGACUCUUUCGAAAAAAUACAAUUCUACUAAAUAGAAAUUGUUCUAAGCAUAGUUAUUCGUAAAACACCAUUAUUUUGAACAAAAGGUGCUCUGAACUUAAUCGAAUAUCACACGCAAGUAUAUGUAUCGUUACAAGUGGUAUAAAAUAUCGAUCCCAAAGAGAAUUUUGACUAAUUAGAAUGCCAAUCAUCAAAAUUUACUUUUAAUACCUAUCCAAAUAAAUCAAUGACUAAAUUAAAUACAAGAAAAUUCUAGAGUUCAAAGACAAGGGAAAUUCAAAUAGGCAUUACUGUUCUACAUCAAAAUACCAUUGGGGUGGCAUGACCCCAAUUUGUCUAAUAACAAUAAUGUAUCGAUUUCUCUGAGGGGUCGAGUGAGCACUUUAUUCCAAAAUCUUCUGAAACUUGUAGUUUGGACAAUGAAUCAGCUACCUUGUUUCUGUCCCUCUAAUUUCCAUAAUAUGUUCGUGGUGGCUUGAAAAGUGAAUAACAACUAUUUAAAUUUGAGAUUCAACUAUUAGAUUAAACUAGUUCUUUUUGUACAAAGGAAGGCUCAACUAGCCAUAAUGCAAAAAAAAAAAAACAUUAGAGCGUAGGAGCUAAAAGUUCCUACUAUCUUCACUUAGCACGUCAAUUACUCUUAGAAUAGAAACCAGCAAAAAGAGCUAAGUUAAAUACAUGGAUCAGAGACUACAGAGUAAGGUAAGUGUUGUUCUGCAAAUCCAAAUAAAAGCGGUUGGCCAGAAAAUAUUGAUCUGAAAGUGUUAGAAGUUGAAGUGAUUCGUUUAUCAAGUGAAGAGGAUGUCAACGAAUUAAUUGCAAAUCUAGAUAAUGUGAGUCCAAUGUCCUUGGCUGUGAUGGUGGCUUUACCUCUAGUGAGGUUUGACCUUUGUCAGGUUGUGAUGAUCAUCGGUGCAGGAGGGCUAGUAGGCAUUUGGAUAAAAGUGACGAUGAAAUUUCAAGUAACAUAAAGGGUGUUAGAUUUUGCUCAUUAGUCCAAGAAAAUGAAAAUGGGGGUAACUGUGUAAAAUAUGGUUGUGGAACGUUCAGAAGGUAGUAAUGAGCUGUGCAAUCGUAGUAGGGAAACAAAGAGUGUUCAUGGGCACAACGAUAAAGAGAGGAGGUACGAGACAGAAAAGAAAAACGAGCAAUCGAGGCUUAUAGCAUAUAAAAGGAUAUCUCAACUCAACCAGUGUGCCUCUGAAAGGCCUGAUCAUUGGUAUUUAUAUGAAAUAAAAUCUACUUUGGCUCAUUUUUCCCAAACAAUCUGCCUCUAUAUUUAUGUAAGUUUCAAUUUGUGAUUGAAAAGAAUUUGGAUGUGUCUUACAAGAACUUGACUCUCCAUUUUGGUCAUCAAGUAAAGAAAGAAGCUCAGCAUUGUUGUUUUCAACUCCCACUCUGUGAAACCCCUUGUUCUAUGCAAUAUUUAAGCCCUUUUAUCCAAGCUUCAACCCAAAACACUGAGCACAAACCCAAGUUUCUCAUGUGCCCAACAUAUAAAAGAAUAGAAAACCAAAAUUUCACAAAUAAAAAUAUAGGAAAGAGAAUUUGAGCAUGAUGUGAAUAUAAAAAUAAUAGUAAUAUGUACAUUUAUAAAUUAAUGUAUAUCAAAAUCUAUAUAAAACUAAAAUUUUAAUUUUAAAAAUAUAGGAAAAAAAUUGAGCAUCAUAUAUAUAUUUAUAAAUUUAGAAUAUUUCUUAUAUAUGUUUUUUUUCUCUAAUGUCGAUUUGGUUUCAUGUUAAAUUCUUAUUUGUGUUUUCUUCACGUUUAUAUCGUCCAUAUAAUUAAAAAAUAAUUAUGGUAAGGAUUAAAUAUUUUGAUGAAGAUGCAUUAGUCAUAAAAUAUUAGCCGUCCACACAAUGAAUUAAUGUGCAAAUAUUAUAUUAGAACAAAAGAGAAUCACGGUAAAAUCAAAUUGGUUAAUGUUAAAAAUAGUAUAUACUAAAAGAAAAUAAACAAAUGGAUGUGCGCAAUUUAAGGAUUUCAAGAGAAAAAUUGAAUGGUGAAGAAUGAUUGUAUUAGAAGGAGUUGUGUUGUAUAAAAGGGUAAGCCAACAUGCAACUCAAAUCAUCUCAAACAAAUCUUCUUCCUCUAAGAGGGGAUAAACAGCCUUAAUUCAUAAAAUUUCAUAAAAUUACAUAAGAGACUUUAAAGCCAACAAAAUGGCUCCAUUGACGAUAAUAGUGGUGUUUUUUCUCUGGGUAGGAUCACUGCUUAUGGUUCAAGGUGGAGAUCCCACCAUUAGUUUCGAGUGGAAGGUCACUUAUGGCACCAUAUCUCCUUUGGGUGUUCCCGUAAAAGGUAUUCUCAUUAACGGGCAAUUCCCUGGGCCAAAUAUGAACUCUACCACCAACAACAAUGUUAUAGUCAAUGUGUUUAACAACCUUGAUGAGCCAUUCCUUUUGACAUGGUAAACAAGAGUACUUUUUUUUCCCUUGAUUAUAUUAGUAAAGAGUUGAGCUUAAUUAUAUAUAUAUAUAUAUGGAAAUGAAUUUUGUUGCAGGAGUGGCGUGCAGCAUAGGAAGAAUCCUUGGCAAGAUGGUGUGCUUGGAACCAACUGUCCUAUCCCCCCCGGGACGAAUUACACCUAUAAAUUCCAGGUGAAGGACCAAAUUGGCAGCUUCAUCUAUUAUCCAGUGACGGCUAUGCAUAAGGCGGUUGGUGGUUUCGGUGGCCUUCGUAUUAACAGUCGUUUACUCAUUCCUGUCCCCUAUGCUGAUCCAGCUGAUGACUAUACUAUCAUAGCAGGAGAUUUUUUCAACAAGGGACACACCACCCUCAAGAAAAUUCUUGAGAGCGGUCGCAACCUUGGUAGAUGUGAUGGUGUCCACAUUAAUGGAAAAGUUGCUAAAGGUGAUGGUAGCGAUGAACCUCUCUUCACCAUGGAAGCAGGCAAAACCUACAAGUAUAGGAUUUGCAAUGCGGGUAUCAAGACAUCUCUGAACGUCAGGUUCCAAGGCCACACCAUGAAAUUGGUUGAGAUGGAAGGUUCCCACACAGUGCAAAAUGACUAUGAAUCCCUUGAUGUUCAUGUUGGACAGUGCUUCGCUGUGCUUGUUACAGCCGACCAAGAACCAAAGGAUUACUUUGUUGUGGCCUCUACCCGUUUUACCAAACGCGAGGUUACAGCAACUGGUGUCAUCCGUUACACCAAUGGCAAGGGCGCACCCUCACCUAAGUUGCCACCACCACCAGUUGGUUGGGCUUGGUCACUCAAUCAAUUCCGUACCUUCCGUUGGAACUUGACUGCCAGCGCUGCUAGGCCUAACCCUCAGGGCUCCUACAAAUAUGGUUCCGUUAACAUUACCCGUACCAUCAAGCUGGCCAACACUGCUCAAAAAGUAGAUGGCAAGCUUCGAUAUGCUAUUAAUGGAGCCUCCUAUGUCGAACCAACCACUCCACUAAAACUUGCAGAAUACUACGGCGUAGCUGACAAGGUUUUCAAGUAUGAUACCAUUCCUGAUGACCCACCAGCUGAGAUCACUAAAGUAACCAUGGAACCUGUUGUCCUCAAUUUGACACACAGAAACUUUAUGGAAAUCAUCUUCGAGAAUCGCGAAACAGCCAUCCAGUCUUAUCACUUGUGUGGCUAUGCCUUCUUUGCUGUGGCGUAAGUAUUUGGUCUUCAAAUUCUUCUAGUAUAUAGUCAUUACUUUCCGUUUAACUAAAUUCUAUAAUCAUUUGUUGCAGUGUCGAGACUGGGCAAUGGAGCCCUGAGAAGAGGAAGAACUACAAUCUUCUUGAUGCCGUGAGCAGACACACCAUACAGGUUUUCCCCAAGUCCUGGGCAGCUAUCCUAUUGUCAUUCGACAACUGUGGAAUGUGGAACAUCAGGUCAGAGGUAUGGGACAGGCAUUACCUUGGGCAACAGCUUUAUGUUAGUGUUGUUUCCCCUAACAAAUCACUCAGGGACGAAUACAACAUGCCUGAGAGUGCACUAGUUUGCGGUGUUGUGGAAAGCAUGCCAAGGCCACCACCAGCUUACACCUAAUUUAAAGCUUAUAUAAACCUGGAACCAGUUCUGCUUCAAAUGCACAUAAAACGACCUUUGUAGUGACUAAUGCUGACUUUUCCAAUAAAUUAAUUUUCUUGAUGUAAUCAUCAUUCAGCUACUAUAUGUCAUUCAAUAAUAAAUUCUUUCAUUUUUUCUAUUUACAGUGUGUGUGAAAUUUAUUUUAUUUUUUUAAAUGUAGUUAUUUUCGUAAAUAAUAUAAAAAAUAUUAAAAUAGGAUAUAAUGAAAAAAUAAUACAAUCACAAUCCAAAUAGAUAAAUAUGUAAAAACUUACAUAAAUUAACGAAUUAUUAACAAAUAAAAGUUAACUAAUGUUUUUAACUGUUGAAUUUAUUAUUUUAUUUAUCAUGCAAGUAAAAUUUCGUAUUAAUCUAAAUACCAUCUUUAUUAAUAUAUAUAUUUAAUGGUUCAAAGUUUUUACAUUAAAAAAAUAUAGUUAAAUAUUUAAAAUUUAAUCAGAAUUGAAAUUAUGAUAGUUAAAUAUUAAUCAUACAAAAAUAAAUAUUAAAUAGAAAAUUUGCAUAGUAUUGGUAAGUUCACGAUAACAAAUGCUCUCUCCAAGAAAUCAAAGGCAAAGCCAGAAAAUUUGUUUAGGGGACCGAAAUUAAAUUGUAAUUUUUUACGAUAGCAAAAGUGCAAUUUCACAAUUUUAAUAGCCUAUGUCUUUAUAAUUUUUAUAAGGUUAAAUCAAAUUUUUAUCAUUUUAAAGGAGCCAACGUACAAUUCUAUUUUUAUUAAUUUAAAAUCUUAAAAUACCUAAAUAAAAAAAUUUCAAUUUUAGCUCACCCUUAAUCCAUCCUACUUCAAAUACAAACAUAAUCAAGCAAAAUAAUCAUUAAUGCAUAGGUAGUGAGAAUAGCCUUUAUAAAAUAUCAAUUAAAAUAAACAUAAUUCAAGUUAGAGUCUUCAAAAUUACAACCCAAAAACAUUAAAAUAAAACAAAUUUCACUUAGCAGAUAGCUUCUGAAACUGAGGGUUGCAAAUUCUUUGAUGAGAAUUGGAAUCCCAAUAUUGGGGUGGUAAAUUAUUUCAUCCCCACAUGACAACUGAAACCCUAAGUUUAUGGUGAUUCUGGCACAGAAAAAUCAUCAUACUAAGAAAAGAAAAAACAUGAUACUAAUUGCAGUAGUGUCACCUGUAGUGCCAAGUCCUUUAUACCACUCCCCCUUUUAGUUCAAGAGAUUUUCCAAACCCCAACUGAAGCAGCUUGGCCAGGAGAUCAUUCCACAAUGCUUUGACUCGUCGAACAUUGGCUUGAAGUUGUUGAAUGACCUUUUUCUUGGGAGGCAAUCUCAGCAUCAAGAUGUUGGAGAUGAAAUGUCUUCCUUUGUGCCAACUCCAACAGGCUGGGCCACAACAUCAGGAACUGCUUCAGGGAGUGCAACCUGGUGUUUCCCUUCAAGCCACUUGUAUGAAUACUUCAACUCUAUAGGCUUCCUUUCAUAUUUUUCAGUAGCCAAUACAAUUUCAUGAUUUUGAUUAUAAAGAAUCUGAAAAAUUAAGUGAAUGGAAAGAAAGACAUAACAUGGGGUAAACAAAAUUAGUAUGUUUGAUGAUUUCCUGAAAAAUAAGCUCUCCCAAGUCAAAUUGAAUCACAUCACAAAUCUUCCUAAGCAGAGUAACAAUCUUCUUUGUAACUGUAUUCCUUUGGCUAUUAGGAAUCCAGUUUCUGGUUGCAAUAGCAAACAGGCCAGCAUAAGUGGGCUCUAGAGUAGAAGCUUGUGGGCAAGGUAAGGUGAACUCCAUUGGUGAUGGUUUUGACCAUUAUACCAUAAAAUUCAUCUAGCUUGACAUCUAUCAAGCAUGAGUGAAGCAAUAGCUCCCAAAUUUGUGUAGGGCCAAAAUUAUACCAUCUUCCUCGAAUAUAAGCUUUGUGGAAGAGUUUGCUCGAAGACUUAUUGACAGACUUGAGAAGAUUGACAUAAAACCCAUAAACCCCCUCCUCGGCAUAUGGUUUUACAAAAGCAACAAAUUGUAGCAAGUCAUUCUACUCAAUGAAGUGCUUCUUUGUACACAGCAAAUAUCUGUUGGUGCAGACGGUUGACAAAAUUGUUUGCUCUUUCUUUUGCAGUAGAGUAUCUUCUUCUUUGGAAGAGGGAACAGUAGUAAAUUUCUUGGGAGAAUCUUACCUUGCAGGAGUGGACUGAGGGAUGUUUUGUCUCCUGGUUCUGUUAUGAACCGAAACAGAAAGCAGAAAAUAGAAAAGGGAAGAAGAAAACAGAAAGUUGGUCUAUUCAUUAAUUGUUUUAGUGAUGCACACUAUUUUGUGAUGGUUUUUCUUAUUAAUGCAUUAUAUGAUUUUAAUAAUCAACACAGUAAUUAGAAUUAAAACAUGGCAGCAAUGAAAUUGUUGAAAGCUUGCGGAUGACUUGAAUACAAACAAAUGGUCCAAAAUAUUUUAUUUCAUUAAAUACAUUUGGAACUCAAGCUUUUCUCACCCUCUCUCUCCCCAUACACCAGAAUUGGCUACAGAUUUAUAAGCUUAUUUAAAUUAACUGCUGAAAGGUGGAGGCCUUGGCAUGCCUUGCACGAUGCCGCAAGUCAAUACACCUUCCGGCAAGUUGUACUCAUCCUUGAGGGAUCGGUUAGGGGAAAUAACACUAGCAUAAAGCUGUUGCCCAAGGUAAUGCCUGUCCCAUAUCUCCGACCUCAGGUUCCACAUCCCGCAGUUGUCGAAUGUCAAUAGGAUUGCUGACCAGGAGUUGGGGAAUACCUGUAUGGUGUGUCUGCUCACGGCGUCGAGAAGAUUGUAGUUCAUCCUCUUCUCAGGGCUCCAUUUCCCAAUGUCCAUGCUGCAACAAAUCAUUAUACAACUUAUUACUUCAACUCAGGCAAUAAAAUCACCACAUGUAUUUGUUACGUUAGAAGCUAUACUUACCCCACGGCAAAGAAUGAGUAGCCAGACAAGUGGUAAGACUGAAUGGCGGUCUCGGGAUUCUCGAAGAUGAUUUCCACAAAGUUUCUGUGUGUCAUGUUGAGGACAAUAGGUGCCAAAGUUACCUUAGUGUUGUCACUUGGUGGCUCAUCGGGAAUGGUAUCAUACUUGAAAACCUUGUCGGCUACGCCGUAGUAUUCUGCAAGUUUUAGUGGAGUGGUUGGUUCGACAUAGGAGGCUCCAUUAAGAGCAUAUCGGAGCUUGCCAUCUACUCUUUGUGCAGUGUUGGCAAGCUUGAUGGUGCGGGUAAUGUUAAUGGAACCAUAUUUGUAGGAGCCCUGAGGGUUAGGCCUAGCAGCGUUAGAAGUCAAGUUCCAACGGAAGGUACGGAAUUGAUUGAGUGACCAAGCCCAACCAACAGGUGGUGGUGGCAACUCGGAUGAGGCAGCUCCCUUGCCAUUCUUGUAACGGAUGAUGCCGGUUGCUGUAACCUCACGUCUGGUAAAACGGGUAGAGGCCACCACAUAGUAAUCCCUUGGUUCCUGGUUGGCAGUAACAAGCACACUGAAGCACUGUCCAACAUGCACAUCAAGGGAGUCAUAGUCAUUCUGCAUUGUGUGGGAACCCUCCAUCUCAACCAAUUUCAUGGUGUGGCCCUGGAACCUGACGUUCAGAGAUGUCUUGAUACCCGUAUUGCAAAUCCUGUACUUGUACGUUUUGCCUGCCUCCAUCGUAAACAGAGGUUCAUCCUUCCCAUCACCUUUCGCAACUUUCCCAUUAAGGUGGACACCGUCACAUCUCCCAAGGUUGCGACCGCUAUCAAGAAUCUUCUUGAGGCUGGUGUGUCCCUUGUUGAAAAAGUCUCCCACUAAGAGAGUAUAGUCAUCAGCCGGAUCAGCGUAGGGAACAGGGAUGAGUAGACGGCUGUUAACACGGAGGCCACCGAAACCACCAACCGCCUUGUGCAUAGCCGUCACCGGAUAGUACAUGUAGCUGCCAAUCUGAUCCUUCACCUGGAAUUUAUAGGUGUAAUUCUUCCCAGGGGGGAUAGGACAGUUGGUUCCCAGAACACCAUCUUGCCAAGAGUUCUUCCUAUGCUGCACGCCGUCCCUGCAACAAAUCCCAUUUCCACAGAUAAUUAGCUCGACUCUUCACUAGCAUAAUCAUAUUAAUGUAAAAAAGAAACUACUCUUGGUAGUCGCUUACCAUGUUACAAGGAAUGGCUCAUCAAGGUUAUUGAACACAUUGACCACGAUAUUGUUGUUGGUGGUAGAGUUAAGAUUUGGUCCCGGGAAUUGCCCGUUAAUAAGAAUACCCUUUACUGGCACUCCCAAGGGAGCAAUGGUGCCAUAGGUGACGUUCCAUUCGAAAAAAAGGGUGGGAUCUCCGCCCUGGACCAUAAGCAUUGAUCCUGCCAAGAGAAAUAGCAUCGAUAUUAACAUUAAUCGAGCCAUCUCUUACCCUUUUUUUUCGCCCGACAGUAAUUUAUUAAUUAUCCCCUUCUAGAGGAAGAGGAAGAUGGUUU
rnacentral:lncRNA from 1 species